rnacentral:tmRNA from 1 species
GAACGAGAUUUUAAAUAGACACGACUAAGUAUGUAGAACGCUCUGUAGAGGACUUUCGGACGGGGGUUCAAUUCCCCCCGCCUCCACCA